GCCCAGCUGGGACACCCGGGUGUGAGCGGGUCUGGAAAUUUGUAGAGGGGAGAGGGGCUGGUUUGGAGACUUGGCACCCAAUCCCGAGGGGGCAUGGAGUGUGAUUAAAGUGCUGGGAUCACAGUCAUGCUAUCUUCUGAGCUUCCGUUUUUGAAAAAAUCACCGACUGCUGUGUGAAGGAUGGCAGACAGAUGGGAAAAGUAGAAGACUCACACAAAAGGAAGUACAGGCUCCCACUGUGGUUCCAGGGAGGAAAGGAAAGGGCCCGUACUCCUCCCCCCUCCUCGCUCAGCAGAGACAAGCGGUGACCCAACCAGGCUGGCCAAUGCUAGCAAGGACCCUCUCCCGCUGCUUUGGGCUCCUGGGGUCCCUGGGACCGGAGAUACAGCCCCCACUUUUUGCAUUGGCUGUUACGAUGAAUAAAUAAAUAAAUACCUCCCGCCUCCCCGCCCGCGCCCCUACAGCUGGCUCUCCUCCUCCUCCAGGGAGCGGUUGAGUCCGGGGAUGAACUUGAGCAGCCGCCGGCGGAAGCUGCGGUACUUGGUUUUGCGCAGGCCCGCGCCGCACAGGGCCUGCUCGCGGGCCUCAGUCCAGAGCGCGCCCGGCGCACCCCCGCCGGGGCCCGAGCACCGCACACUGGCGCUGCGGCUGAGUGCGGCGCGGGGCGCGGGGCAGA